AUUGAACGCUGGCGGUAGGCUUAACACAUGCAAGUCGAGCGGUAACAUUUCUAGCUUGCUAGAAGAUGACGAGCGGCGGACGGGUGAGUAACGCGUAGGAAUCUGCCUUAUAGUUGGGGAUAGCCCGAGGAAACUCGGAUUAAUACCGAAUACGCUCUACGGAGGAAAGCAGGGGAUCUUCGGACCUUGCGCUAUGAGAUGAGCCUGCGUGAGAUUAGCUAGUUGGUGAGGUAAAGGCUCACCAAGGCGACGAUCUCUAGCUGGUCUGAGAGGAUGAUCAGCCACACUGGGACUGAGACACGGCCCAGACUCCUACGGGAGGCAGCAGUGGGGAAUAUUGCACAAUGGGGGAAACCCUGAUGCAGCCAUACCGCGUGUGUGAAGAAGGCUUUUUCCGGGUCGUAAAAGCACUUUCAGCAGUGAGGAAAGUAAGUCGCUAAUAUCGGCUUACCGUGACGUUAACUGCAAAAGAAGCACCGG
rnacentral:rRNA from 1 species